UGGUGGGUUGCCUUGUCAGGUUGAUUCCGGUAACGAACGAGACCUCAGCCUGCUAAAUAGUCACAUUUGCUCCGGCAGAUGGCGGACUUCUUAGAGGGACUAUUGGCGACUAGCCAAUGGAAGCAUGAGGCAAUAACA
rnacentral:rRNA from 1 species